rfam:Tupaia chinensis contig192168, whole genome shotgun sequence.
GUCUCACUUCGGCAGCACAUAUGCUAAAAUUGGAACGAUACAGAGGUUAGCAUGGCCCCUGUGCAAGGAUAACACGCAAAUUCCUGAAGUGUUCCAUAUUUUG